CUCGAAGCCGCGCCACCCGCGGCCGAUCCGCCCGAAGCCGCGCCACCCGCGGCCAAUUCGUCGAUGCCCAUGCCGAGCCGCCGCCCAUGACUCUGCUCGUGAUCUCGGCCGAGCCGCGCCACCCGCGCGCCGUCGUCGACUUUGAUGGCUCGAACCCGAGGAGUUCCCUCUGAUGCCGCGUCGCUCCACCUCGAAGACCGCAGCCCCGUCGAUGCCGCGCCGCUGUCGUGGCCCUUCACCGCUGCAGAGCGUCGUCGUCACGGCCCUCCUCCGUCGCGGUCUCAGAUCCGCGGCUCCACUGUCAGGUCACAGCCCCAGCGGAGCUCCGUCAUCAACAAAGCCCGCCAACCGCUCGACGGCGAACCUGAGAGAGAGAGCGGUGCUCUCCUCUCAAACGGAGUCCGCCCACCAACCGCUCGACGGCGAACCUCUCCUCUCAAACGGAGUCCGCCCACCAACUGUUUGACGAAAUGCCCAAGACAUAUCUUUCGACGGCGAACCUGAGAGGGAGCGGUGCUCUCCUCUCAAACGGGUUCCGCCCGCCAAUUGCUCGAUGUGCCCGGAGUCCGCCCACCAACCGUUCGACGGCGAAUCUGAGAGAGAGAGCAGUGCUCUCCUCUCAAAUGAAGUCAAGUCCGCCAACCGCUCCGACGGCGAAACUGAGAGAGAGAGCGGUGCUCUCCUCUAAAAAAAAGAGAAAGAGACGUUACUUCUCCAAUGAUAAAAAGAGAGAGAGCUUAGUUAAUGUUAGGGAGGCAAGGAAGGGAUUUUUUAUCCCGCCUUAGUUGUCCCACGAAUGUAAAAGAGAUAAAAAGAAAUUAUUCAUCUCUGUUAUAUUAUAUUUUUAAAAGAGAUAAAGAGAAAAAAAUGUAUUCUCUUAAUUCUCAUUCAAUGAAGAAAUGAAAGAAAAUUAGUCGGAUUUUCGAUUAAUAUUCUUUUGAUUGUUCUUUUAACAGUGUUCAAAAAUAAUCGAACCCUUCAAUUGAACCUUUCGAUUUGGUCGAAUUA
rnacentral:lncRNA from 1 species